rnacentral:rRNA from 1 species
GAUGAACGCUGGCGGCGUGCCUAAUACAUGCAAGUCGAGCGAACGGACGAGAAGCUUGCUUCUCUGAUGUUAGCGGCGGACGGGUGAGUAACACGUGGAUAACCUACCUAUAAGACUGGGAUAACUUCGGGAAACCGGAGCUAAUACCGGAUAAUAUUUUGAACCGCAUGGUUCAAAAGUGAAAGACGGUCUUGCUGUCACUUAUAGAUGGAUCCGCGCUGCAUUAGCUAGUUGGUAAGGUAACGGCUUACCAAGGCAACGAUGCAUAGCCGACCUGAGAGGGUGAUCGGCCACACGGGAACUGAGACACGGUCCGGACUCCUACGGGAGGCAGCAGUAGGGAAUCUUCCGCAAUGGGCGAAAGCCUGACGGAGCAACGCCGCGUGAGUGAUGAAGGUCUUCGGAUCGUAAAACUCUGUUAUUAGGGAAGAACAUAUGUGUAAGUAACUGUGCACAUCUUGACGGUACCUAAUCAGAAAGCCACGGCUAACUACGUG